GCUGCUAUGUGUGUGCUGGCAGAGCUUACUACCAGCUCGGGGUUAAAUUCGUCCCUGUCUACUAACAAUGCAAUUCCUUUCUACUAGUAAUUGCCUGCCAAAGGAGAAGGGAGGAAAAUGGGUUUGGUUAUGUUACUGACAUCCAUGGGAUCCCCCCCCCUUUUUUUUUUUUUUUUUUGACUGCGUGGUGAUCAUACACAACGCGCUCCCAGGAUUGUAACUUUUUUUUUUUGAAAACUACACCUUCCUUAAAGGGAAGGUGAGUAAGUCCCUAAUCUGUGGCAAGAUUUUCAUGCGAUGCCCAGAGUGUGGGGUGGAGGACAUUGUCGUCGUUAUCGUUGUUGUUGUUGUUAUUGUGUUUGAAGCGGCAUCAAGGGGG
rnacentral:sRNA from 1 species